rnacentral:rRNA from 1 species
AUCAACUUUCGAUGGUAGGAUAGAGGCCUACCAUGGUGGUAACGGGUAACGGGGUGUUAGGGCACGACACCGGAGAGGGAGCCUGAGAAACGGCUACCACAUCCAAGGAUGGCAGCAGGCGCGCAAAUUACCCAAUCCCGACACGGGGAGGUAGUGACAAUAAAUAACAAUACGGGGUUCUUUCGGAUCUCGUAAUUGGAAUGAGUACAAUUUAAAUCUCUUAACGAGGAACAAUUGGAGGGCAAGUCUGGUGCCAGCAGCCGCGGUAAUUCCAGCUCCAAUAGCGUAUAUUAAAGUUGUUGCAGUUAAAAAGCUUGUAGUUGAAUUUCGGGGUUAGUAGAUUGGUCAUGCCUCUGGUAUGCACUGGUCUCACUGAUUCCUCCUUCCUGAUGAGCCGUAAUGCCAUUAAUUUGGUGUUGCGGGGAAUUUGGACUGUUACUUUGAAAAAAUUAGAGUGUUUAAAGCAAGCUAACGCUUGAAUACAUUAGCAUGGAAUAAUGAAAUAGGACGUUCGAUCCUAUUUUGUUGGUUUCUAGGAUUGACGUAAUGAUUAAUAGGGAUAGUUGGGGGCAUUAGUAUUCAAUUGUCAGAGGUGAAAUUCUUGGAUUUAUUGAAGACUAACUACUGCGAAAGCAUUUGCCAAGGAUGUUUUCAUUAAUCAAGAACGAAAGUUAGGGGAUCGAAGACGAUCAGAUACCGCCGUAGUCUUAACCAUAAACUAUGCCGACUAGGGAUCGGAUGAUGUUAAUUUUUUAAUGACUCAUUCGGCGCCUUACGGGAAACCAAAGUGUUUGGGUUC